AUGUGGUUUCAUGUUCGUUAUGGUACUCCAGAACUGUAUAAGACUAUUAUCAGUGGUGAUUGGAUAGAAAACACAAUUUUCACAAACCCGUAUUAUGUCUCCUCUAGUAUGCUUGGUUGUCGCCGAAACACUUGCCCCGUUCUAUAUCUUACUGUUUUGCCUGAUAUGCAAACUAUUGGAUAUCUUGACUGCGGGGCUUGUAAUUUUCCUACUAUCACCUAUGUAGCUUCGAUCAACUGUUGGAUGCAGUCAAACUCCUGA